CAACCAAUAUUGCCAGUUGUUUCUUCUUUUCAAAAGACAAAUUUCCGACGGCCUGAUCCACCUCCUUGGCAAGCCCAAUCAGCAAUAUGGAGAUAGAGGCCCAAACAUGAAUCACAUGGACCACCUGUGAAGUAUUGUAUUUGUGGAAAACGCUCUUGAUUGUUCUGGCUCAGCCUUGUUAACAGCAGUGGGGGUUGAGAUGGCUAAUUGCCAUGCCACCAUGCCGGAAGUCUGUUGAACAUGGAGAAUCGUCAGUCCAACCGAAGGGCGCUAACCCAGGCGGAUGCUUGUCAAGGCCAAUGAACAUGUUUUGGUGUCUGGUUCAUCCUCUUAUUCUGUAGGUCGCCGUGUCGAGGACAGUGCACAAUCUCUCAAAAAUGGAGUUGGAAGCUAGCUGGGGUGGCAUGGGGAAUCGUACAAAGCUCUUUCAACAAAAUGUGCGAAAUGAGAAAUGAAACUUGCUCUUGAGCGGCAGCUGGCAAAUUGAAACCCCACAUAUCAGCUUUUUCCGGUUUUAGGUUUUGAUCCUCUCUUCCUGGAGACACGCAAUUUGACCACCUCCUCUCCAAUAGCUGCAGGAGGUAGCUGGGAGCCUUGCAUCAUGGUUCAAGGGUCACCCAACCGUUUUCCACAUUACCCAUGCUAACUCUGUUUCUCACACCUUGAAUUUCUGAUACAAAAUGCAUGACAAGGACUUGUCCUUCCACAAUCUGCAUCCAAAUCCCUCUUUGUCCAGUCAACGCCUUGUCGGAUCCGCACACGUGCUAUCAGAAGACGAACCAUGGAACUGCGGGGGAGGGUCCGUGAUGGGGGAGAAAGAACAUAAAUAGGGCUUCAUGUCCCCUUCUUCCUCAUGAGAUUCUCUCUUCCAUUUUCAAGGAUAGCUCGUUGACCAUCAUACAUCCAAACGCAACUUAAAUAUCUUACCGAAUUUUCAAACAAACUCACCACCCAAACCCACCCAUCCAAAAAUGUCUCCCUGCAACUGCAACUGCUGCUCUGGUGACUGCAACGCCUGCGGCUGCGGCAGCUGCAGUCACUAAGCAGCUCCCGAUGAGCUAAAUUCUCUCUCUUCCACUUUUCUCCUGCCUUAUAUAACGUCUUUCCCCGCCGCUGAGAAGGUCUCUUAACGUAUCCGAAGUCUCCUUGAUCGAUACGUCCAUUCAAAUCCCUCAUUCCUUAGGACGAGACUGGCAUUAUAUUUCCUAACGUUUCCCCCGCGUCUACCCUAACUUGGAUUCGUUAUCAAGCGAGUUGGAAGAAAAAAAUUUUCAAACCACGGAGGAAAGAGAAUCAAUUGCCUCAGGCUCUCGGAACCAGCAUGUCCUGUUUUCUUUUAUAUUUUCAAUUCGACAUUGGUUGUUGUGUAUCUUGAGCUUGCCCGGCCCUUUUUUCAAAAAGGGCGAGCAAAUUCUAAGGGGGCGUGCCUGUGUGCUGGUGUGCAUGCGUCUGGGCUGUGUUGGGUGUUGAGAUGUAGCGAAUAUUCGAAGACAUACUUUCAUUAAAGCAAUGACAUCUCCACCAUUAUUCAGAAUACAACCUUAAUCCCCAUUCCGUACUAGGAAACAUAGAUGCAAAUCAGCCGAUUUUAGAAUACCAUGAGGUCACAAAUGCCUUCCUCGAAUGUGAUGCAGCCCUAUGUCGUACCUCCGUGUCAUACAUGUCAUGUUCUCUUCCGUUCUCGCAUCGGAUAAUAGAUAUGGACAUCUUCCCACUGGUGCGGGGGUCCAAGCACACGGGUUUUGCGGAAUGAGACGCCUCUUUCACCAAGCAAAGGGACACGACAGGACGGUUGGUCAGUUGACCCCGCAUUGUUAGCUUUGAGAAUCUUCUUCCUUUUUUUUUUUUUUUUAAUAUCAUUUUUUCCAUAUAAAAUGAUUCAGUAGGUCAGAAUGUGAAUCUUGCCGAUCAAGACUAAUGUCGCGAGAAGACAUCAGUCAAAUUGAGGAUUUCAACUAAAGUGAUUGUAGAAGAGAUCAAUGUUCUGGAGGUUUGAGCAUAUAGGAGUUUUUCUUUCUCUUUUCUUUUCUUUCUGAGGAAGGGUUGAAACUGGUAAUGGCUCUUGUUCAUGUUACUGUAUUAUGGCGGGCUAGCUUGUGUAUUAGUUGUGGAUUCUCUACCGUCAUUUCGAUGUAGUGUACAAGGUAUCCGCACGAGCAUUCAAGUCAGGAGCAGCGAAGCAUGUGUAAAUGGAAUGAUGACACAUCAAAGAUAAGAGCGACGAGAAACCAGCAUAAAAUGACACUACCAGGCUGCACAGGGAAAUAGAUAAUCUUGCUGUGAAGGAAUUCAAGUCUGCUAGAAACAAGAAGAAUAAAGAAAUAAAGAAUAAAGGUGGAAGUAAGCAUGUAAGCCCGUCUAGUUUGCAACAAUCCUGUGUAACUAACCAAAUAUUAUCAAAUUAUUCUGCGGUUCGUUUGUUCCCUCACAGCUCGUCUUUGCGAUCAUCACGGACGGCAUUGCCGUUCUUGGAAACUUCUUCACAGGCAGCCGGGGUCGUCACAAACAUACUAUACACGCAUUUUUCGUCUUCCGUAACCUUCAAGAUCUCAUCCUGCUCCCCACAUUCCAAAACAAUCUUGGUUGAACGUGCGGGGCCAUUCCAGCAUGUUUGUCCGUUGGUGUAUUCCAGUGCUAUCUUCUUUUGAGGGACGACCUUCCCAUUUGAGUCCUGCUCAUCCACAGUAAUUGUAGUAAACGCAGAAAAGGUGCCCAUUGUUGUGGUGGAUCCGCCUUUCUUGGGUAUUUGUUUCGUUUUCUCCAUCCAACAGAGUUCAUAGGUAUAUUCACCAGAGUCCUUAGAUAUGCACGAGCCCUUCAGCGAGCGAAAUACGGAAUCACUUCCAUAGUCUUUGUGAAGGUCUAAUUUUUGAUCCUCCAACUCAGAGCGAAUUCUAUUCAAAGAUGAUUCUUCAGUAGAAAGUGCAUUCCGAGCUUCCGUCACUGCUCUGGACUCUGUGGUGCCUAAGUCGCCGCUGUUAUCCGCAAGGAUGCCAUUUGAUAUUAAAAACGAGCGGAGUUGGAGUACUUUAUCUUCGAAGUAGUUAAUCAAUGAAUCGGGGAGGUAGGCGGCGACUUUGUAAAGAAGACCGAUUUCAGAUUCUACAUCUUGUUCAUUUUCCCAAUGAUCCCAGUCAAUGCCUGAAUUUUCACUGUCCGGUUUGCAAAUUUCAUCCAAAUCUCGAUCUAGCGUUUCAUCGCCAUCGCUACCUGUAUCGCCACGCGCAGCAUAAUCUUCCCAGGCCCGGACAGCACGCUUUACGCCUUCGUCGUUGAAAUUUGGGUUGUAUUCCUCCUUGAAUUUUGAUAGUAUGGCCUCGAGUUGACUAACUUUCACCAAAUUCUCAUCCCUUUCCCGGCGAACCUGCACCAAUGCCCCUCGCAACUCUUCGACCCUCUCCUUGGCUAGUCCAGCAAGAACAUUAACUUUGCCCUUAUUUUGGCCCUUCACCACUUUGCCCCUUUCGUUGGCCCGGACUGUUUCGAGAGCUUGUUCUAGGUUCUGCACCUUCAACUCUGAGGCCACAACUUCCACUUCAAGAUCCGAGAUGCGGUCUUCCACCUCCUUUCGUAAUUUAGCCGCAGCUUUCACAAGCUCUGCCCUCUUCUUCACCGCCGUGGUAAGGGAUUUAUGCCUCUUUUCUUCAUUCUUUCGCCAUUCUUUUCCAAUCUCCUUGCACCUGUUCUCACAUUUUAAGCCACCAACCCGGGCCCAUUCAUCGCUACCGUCGCAGCACAUCUCAUAGUCGCAAACGCCAUCAUUGACUCGCUGGAACGAUAUGACUGAUGGUCUAUGACCUUUAUUAACACAGUAGAAUCCGGGGAGAACCGGAGUACGGUUAACCUUAUCAUCCUUAAAGUCAGAAGGAGAAAACUGUGAUACAUAGGCGCAUGCCGAGGUGCCCGGUUCGUCGCUGCCAUCAGGACAGUCGCAGUAAUCAUCGUUCACUGCGGAGAAUGGAAUUUGAACGGAGGGAUUAGAAAUACAGGUGAA
rnacentral:sRNA from 1 species